CAUUGGAUCCAUCGGAUCCAUCUUUUUAUUUUUUAAUACUUAUAAAAAAAGAUGGAUCCGAUGGAUACAAUGGACAAGUAUUUAGCUAUAACUAAAUACUUAUCCACUGGAUCCAUCUUUUUUUUUAAUACUUAUAAAAAAAGAUGGAUCCGAUGGAUAAG
rnacentral:miRNA from 1 species